ensembl:lncRNA HULC hepatocellular carcinoma up-regulated long non-coding RNA
AAAUGUUGCCAGCAUUGUUUCGAUAGUGCUGCUUAAUUCUUGGAAGGUUCUUCGGACUUCACACAUUCCAGCAGUAGCUCUCUCAGCUCCUGUCCUGCACAGCUUUGAAGUGCUGAAACAGAGAAGAGUAUGAGAAGUGUUACAGAACAUGAAGAUACCCUUGUGGCUCAAACAUACUUAUUUUUAAAAACUCUAAAAGUCUAAAUGUGUCUGUAUCUGGAUAUAUUUUCAGUCAACUUAUGCUGUGUUGGGUAAAGGUGAUGUCAUUGAACUCUUAAGUGCAAGAUGAAACAAGUCUUUCUGGGGUUCUAAGUAGGACACAGCCCUGGUGAUGGCUUUCUGAGGAUGACACGAUGGAGGCUUCUCCAAUAGCUCUAAAACUGCGGUGUGGAAAACAUUCGGCAGCCUCAAAGAGCGGUCUUGUUGACCCCAACUAUAUCAUUUUUCAUCAAAAUCAUUCUUGUAAAGAAUGACCAGGCAACACUCUUUGAAAAUUGGAGGCCAUUUGCAGCUGCUCUCUGUUGAGGAAAGUGAAUAAUAGGGUGCCCUCAAGGAAUUGCAAAGGUAUCACUCAACAGAAACUUUCGUGUCUGAAGAAAACUAGAUCAUUUUAUCAUGGUAGGCAUGCUGAUAUGUUUGCUUUAAUAAAAUGCCAUAUUUCUGCCUUUAAUCUCUUGUCAACCCGCUAUUAAAAAGCCCCAAAGUGCAUGUGUGCAGCGCAUGUAAACACUUGUGGUUUUGAGGUUACCACAGAACAUACUAAUAAAGCAUGUAAUUUGUGU